AAGAGGGGGGCGCCGACGCUGGUGUUCAAGCUCGACUUCGCCAAGGCCUUCGACUCCAUUGCCUGGCCUAGUCUUCGCCGGAUCAUGGAGGUGAGGGGGUUCCCCGCCGUGUGGUGUGACUGGAUGGACCUCAUCCUCUCGUCCUCCACUGCGGCGGUCCUCCUUAACGGGGUGCCCGGGCGCUGGUUCGCCAUCCGCAAGGGGCUGCGCCAGGGCGACCCCAUAUCCCCGUACCUCUUCCUUCUGGUCGCCGAUGUGCUUCAGCGCAUGAUC
rnacentral:rRNA from 1 species